GCAGGCCGCCCGUCCCUCCCCGAAGGCGAAGG
rnacentral:rRNA from 1 species